rnacentral:lncRNA from 10 species
UCCACCUCCCCGGACCCAGGUGUCUCAAAAAACAAACAAACAAAAACCACAAAACACUAAAUUCUGUAAUUCUGAUUUUAUGCAAAUACUGUGUAUCAAGGGUCCACAGAAUUACCUAAGCAAUGUUAUAUUUGUUUUCACCUUUUUUACACGGAUAAUUGGUCUUCCCAGCAAUAUUUUAAAUGACUGGAAUAUUAGCACUUCACUUACAUUUUUUUUAUCUGUUAGUCAUUUAUUGUUUUCCCCCUGUAGCUACAGCUCAUGCCCAUCUUUUUUUCCUCAUCUAGUCCUAAUUACAGUGCUAUAAAGGAUGAGAAAAACAGCUGAAAGCUGAAGGAUCUGCCCAACCUGGUCUUCCGCCUCUCCAUCCUGGCUUUUUUGCUGUGAGAAGUCCUACUGGCCCGUGCAUUGUCUUGGUGAUCAAUGAACUAACAUCUGCAUCUGGGCUUUAUUCAUUGGCUGUCCAAUGUUUUUGAGAAACCUCUUCCACAAAGCAACUUUUCUAUCCUGAGAGAGUUUUGAGGUAAGUGGAACAAAGGCAAGUACCCUGCAUUAGUCCCCUUGGGGAUCCCCCAAACAGAUUAAAACCUAUGAACACAAUUUCUCAGGAACAAGAUUCCCUCCAUUCCCUUCUGAUAUAGUUUGGAUAUUUGUUCCCACCCAAAUCUCAUGCUGAAAUGUAAUCCCCAAUGUUGGAGUUGGGGCUGGGUGGGAGGUGUUUGGAUCUUGGGGGCAGAUUCCUCAUGAAUGGCUUGGACCAUCCCCUUGGUGAUGCUCUUGCUCUGGGUUCGCAUGUGAUCUGGUUGUUUGAAAGUGUGUGGCACCUGCCCUCACUCUCUCUCUUUCUCCUGUUCUCACCACGUGACGUGCAUGCUCCUGCUUCGCCUUCGGUGAUGAGUAAACAUUUCCUGAGGCCUCCCCAGAAGCAGAUCCUGGUGCCAUGCUUUCUGUACAGCCUGCAGAACUAUGAGCCAAUUAAACCUCUUUUCUUGUAAAUUACCCAGUCUCAGGUAUUUCUUCACAGCAGCGCAAGAAUGGCCUAACACACCUCCCAAACUGAGAACCUGCACUGAGAGCAUGGGCUGCUGUCUUCUAGACUGCUGCUGCACUGGGCAGGGGGAUUGGACAAGGGUAAGGUAAAACACGACAAACCUCUCCUACCAUGAUUCAGUGCCCAUUAUCCUUAUUAAGCAUUAGCUUGGUUGCUGUAAACCUUUGACUAUCUUCUAGAGUUCUAAUAAAGUUGUUUCUCAUGACUUUUGCCAGUUUUUUCAGUGUUUCUGCAAAGGAAGAGAGUUCCCUACCCUUAGAGUUUCUUACUCCACC